UAUAUGGCCUACAGUGUAAAGUUCUACUGAAAACAACGUAAAAUUUGCAAGGGAAGAACUGUUCUGUGAUCAAUUAUAUGGCCUACAGUGUACAGUUCUACUGAAAACAACAUAAAAUUUGCAAGGGAAGAACUGUUCUGCGAUAAAUUAUCUGGCCUACAGUGUACAGUUCUACCGAAACAACAUAAAUAUGCCAAGGAGGAAGCAUCACAACCUUUCCAACAACAUUCAACAUGUUCUAAAAUAUGGUGGUCGCGGUCUCACUAACGCAAAAAAUAUUUGCUGGGUUAACAGCGUUUUACAAAUAUUUUUGCGUCUCCCACUUCAUGUACAAUAUGAUUUUUGUCUUUGCUCAAUAACACAGGCCUGUAAUUUCUGUAAGCUUAUAUCUUUAAGACGCAGAAUGCUGUUUUCACCAGCUAAGUCAACAAGAUGUCUUUCAGCAUAUGAAUUUACUCUGUUUGUCCUAGAUUACCAUGCUAAUAAAAAAAGCUAUGACA